rnacentral:rRNA from 1 species
GUGGGGAAUAUUGGACAAUGAGCGAAAGCCUGAUCCAGCCAUGCCGCGUGUGUGAAGACGGUCUUAGGAUUGUAAAGCACUUUAAGUUGGGAGGAAGGGCAGUAAGUUAAUACAUUGCUGUUUUGACGUUACCGACAGAAUAAGCACCGGAUAACUUCGUGCCAGCAGCCGCGGUAAUACGAAGGGUGCAAGCGUUAAUCGGAAUUACUGGGCGUAAAGCGCGCGUAGGUGGUUUUGUAAGUUGGAGGUGAAAUCCCCGGGCUCAACCUGGGAAUUGCCUCCAAGAAUGCAUGACUAGAGUACAGUAGAUGGUAGUGGAAUUUCCUGUGUAGCGGUUAAAUGCGUAUAUAUAGGAAGGAACACCAGUGGCGAAGGCGACUACCUGGACUGAUACUGACACUGAGGUGCGAAAGCGUGGGGAGCAAACAGGAUUAGAUACCCGGGUAAUCC